GCCACCAAACAAGUAUUUUGCAUUUGCAGGUUUCUUCCACUUGCUUGAAAGCGUUUUAAUUCCAAAAGACAAUGAGAAUGCUUGCUUGUCUUCAAGUGAAAUCGGUUGCUGUGCUCCAAGGGUAUUGACUGGAAUUGAAGAUCAUGUUAGCCAACCACUUUGUUUAUGUGUCUCUUGUUAGCGCAAUGCUUCAAUUAGUACUGCCUUUGCAUAUAUUUUUUGCAAUUUAUAUUCAUGGUUCUGUUAUAUCUAAAUAGGCUUUUAUAAAAUCCAGUGUUGAAAAUUGUGUAUGUAGUGCUUGAAAAUUCAGCCUAUUGCGCCAGGUUGCUCAGUUUCUUUCUGUGGUGGACUAUGGAUAGCAAAGUAAUAUUGCAGUAUUUGCAAAUUUUAAAAUGAUAAAAGAAGGUUGCUGCUGCUUAUGACUGCAAAAAUGUUGAAUGCGUUUUUCUCCAUCAGCUGAAGCAGUUUGACAGGAACUACCACUUGAAGAUGAAAGCAUCUAGGUUUAUUUUCAGUGAAAUAAAUCAGAUAUUUCUUCCCAUGCCAUUCACAGCUAGGUGUGUUGUGCCUUCACCGCUUUUUUUAGAACAUCGUCUUUUGGUGAAUGUGUUAAUCAUGAACUCUGGCAGCCAUAUCCUGUUCUUCAUGAGAAGCCUGCCGGUAGGAAACUUGUAUCUGGGUUAAAUGCAGAACCCUGGCCAGAUUCACACAAACGCACACAGUUGAUUUUUGCUAAUGCUAGAUGGUUCGAAUGGAGUCGCAUCUCAUCCUCUGCAGGAGCUGCAGCCCACAAAGACAACAGAUGAUCCCGAAAUCAAGGCCUUGUUAGCCUUGGGCGCAAAGAACAAGAAGAAAGGUAAG